GAUGUUCGGGGCCGCACGCGCGCCACAUUGAAGGAAUCAGCGUGUGCUUUCCCUGUCCGACAGGACUGGGUAACCCGUUGAACCUCCUUCGUGCUGGGGAUAGGGGUUUGUAACUGUUCCCCUUGAACGAGGAAUUCCCAGUAAGCAUGAGUCACUAGCUCGUGUUGAUUACGUCCCUGCGCUUUGUACACACCGCCCGUCGCUAUUAUCGAUGAAUGUUGGAGUGAGAUCUUCGGACUGGUGCCCGGACUGGACUUUGCGGUUCGAGCCGGAGUGCCGGAAAGAUGACCGAACUUGAAUAUUUAGAGAAAAUAAAAGUCGU
rnacentral:rRNA from 1 species